rnacentral:lncRNA from 10 species
CAGCUCUCCCAACCGCAGAGUAUUUAUGGAAUAUCUAAAAAAAAUACACCUAGUUUUCCAUUCUCUCUGCCAGCAUCUAGUGCAGGCCCUUUAUGAUAAGGAAAAUCUCCACAUUAGUUACUGUCAGUAACCUCCAGCAUCAGCUUCUAGCACCUCCUGUGUUGUUAGAAAUAGUUUGCGUCUACAGGGAUCUGCUAAUAUCCUCCUAGACGGAUAGUUUGUGCAAGCUGCUCCCCCCACUGAGCACCCAGUGCUGGUUGUUUUUAUAUUUAUCCACAGAACUCAAGCAAUCCAAUUAGUCUGGAGCAGAGGGUGGGGUCAGGGGUGGUGGAGAAUCAGAUUUGAGAGACAGCAGGGCCAGAUGAUAAAUGGGCUUGGAUCGCACCAUAUGGAAUGUGGAUGUUAUCUCUAAGGUAAUGAUUAACCAGAGAAGAGUCUUAAGCAAAGAGCACAGAAUUUUAGAAAAAGCACCUGGGCACU